AUUGAACGCUGGCGGCAGGCCUAACACAUGCAAGUCGAGCGAGCGGCGGACGGGUGAGUAAUGUCUGGGAAACUGCCUGAUGGAGGGGGAUAACUACUGGAAACGGUAGCUAAAACCGCAUACCAUCAGAUGUGCCCAGGUGGGGUUAGCUAGUGGGUGGGGUAACGGCUCACCUCGGCGACGAUCCCUAGCUGGUCUGAGAGGAUGACCAGCCACACUGGACAUGUGACACGGUACAGACGCCUCAGAGAGGCAGCAGUGGGGGAUGUUGCACAAUGGGCGCAAGGCUGGUACGGCCAUGCCGCGUGUGUGGAGAAGGCGUUCGGGUUGUAAAGCACUUUCAGCGGGGAGGCGUUACCCGCAGAAGAAGCACCGGCUAACUCCGUGCCAGCAGCCGCGGUAAUAC
rnacentral:rRNA from 1 species